GACGAACGCUGGCGGCGUGCCUAAUACAUGCAAGUCGAGCGGACCGGAUUGGGGCUUGCCUUGAUUCGGUCAGCGGCGGACGGGUGAGUAACACGUGGGCAACCUGCCCGCAAGACCGGGAUAACUCCGGGAAACCGGAGCUAAUACCGGAUAACACCGAAGACCGCAUGGUCUUCGGUUGAAAGGCGGCCUUUGGGCUGUCACUUGCGGAUGGGCCCGCGGCGCAUUAGCUAGUUGGUGAGGUAACGGCUCACCAAGGCGACGAUGCGUAGCCGGCCUGAGAGGGUGACCGGCCACACUGGGACUGAGACACGGCCCAGACUCCUACGGGAGGCAGCAGUAGGGAAUCUUCCGCAAUGGGCGAAAGCCUGACGGAGCGACGCCGCGUGAGCGAAGAAGGCCUUCGGGUCGUAAAGCUCUGUUGUGAGGGACGAAGGAGCGUCGUUCGAAGAGGGCGGCGCGGUGACGGUACCUCACGAGAAGGCCCCGGCUAACUACGUG
rnacentral:rRNA from 1 species